rnacentral:lncRNA from 1 species
UACACCUUCACCGAAGGCUGAUAUAUCGAAUUCCUUUACUAGAUUUUGAUUUCCAAAAUCAAAGUUCAUUAGGCUACUUGAUUCACUCUUAUCAUACGUUGACUGGUUUAUAAAACUACAAGGUGGAAAGAAUGGUUCUUGAUUUUCCAAGGUACCAAAGCCCCUGAAGGAGUGGCUUUCCUCCAUGUACGCAGGAAGCUGGACAAGUGCAGGGUUGGGGAUGUUUUCUUGCUCGAAACACCCUUCUAUCUCUGCUUGUAGUCCAGGGCUUACCUGCUGGAAGUAUCAUGUAAAGUAAGAAUGUAAAGUAAGAAUCAGCUUUGGGUUUGCUACUCCAACCCCAGAACAAAAAUUAAAAAGAAUCUGUAAUGCAUGGUAUUUUAGUUCUUACCUCUGGAAGCGCCACAUCAGCUAGAUCAUUAUCUGAAGAAGAGGAGUUAAAGUAACUCGAAUAACCUUCUUCAAGGGUUGACAUAUCAGUCUUCUUACAAGGAUUUUGAUUUCCAAAAUCCGGAGGAGUUGCUGUGGUAUUACUCCAUACACCUUCACAGAAGGCUGAUAUAUCGAAUUCCUUUACUAGAUUUUGAUUUUCAAAAUCAAAAUCCAUUAGGCUACUUGAUUCACUCUUAUCAUACGUUGACUGGUUUAUAAGACUACAAGGUGGAAAGAAUGGUUCUUGAUUUUCCAAACCACGAGAAGCCAUUAAAGAAUUCUCACAAGUUAAUAUAGAAAUGCUAUUGUUUAGAUUUUGAUUUUCCAAAACUAAAGCCAUAUGAUGACU